CAUCACUACGCUAGAUGCAUAUCAAUAAGCGGAGGAAAAGAAACUAACUAGGAUUCCCUAGUAACGGCGAGUGAAGCGGGAAGAGCUCAAAUUUGAAAUCUUAAAGGUUUUCCCUUGACGAAUUGUAGUUUAAAGAAGUGUUUUCUGUUGGAGUUUCGGUAAAAGUUCUUUGGAAUAGGACAUCAUAGAGGGUGAGAAUCCCGUAUUUGACCAUUACUUUCCAGCUGUGUGAUACACUUUCAAAGAGUCGGAUUGUUUGGGAAUGCAGUCCAAAAUGGGUGGUAAAUUUCAUCUAAAGCUAAAUAUUGGCGAGAGACCGAUAGCGAACAAGUACCGUGAGGGAAAGAUGAAAAGAACUUUGAAAAGAGAGUUAAACAGUACGUGAAAUUGUCAAAAGGGAAGCGUUUGACACCAGUGUUGUUUAGUUGAAAAUCAAUUCAAUAAUUUUUGAUUUUGAGUAGUAUUGACUUCAUCAGCUUGCUGCUUUCUUUUCGGAAAUUAUUGAAUGCACUUUUCAGUUAACAAGUCAACAUCAAUUUCUUUUGUUGUAAAAGGGUAAGAGGAAGGUGGCUUACGCUUCGGCGUAAGUGUUUAUAGCCUUUCACCUCUGCAAUCGGAGAGAUUGAGGACAGCAGCGUAGACUCUUCGGGGUUAGAUACACUUGUGCUAAGCUAUAGCCUUGUAUAGACAACUUGUUGACUAUGCUCAGUCAUGUAGCUUACUCGCUUGUGCUAUUUUACCUACGCUUAGGAUGUUGACGAGACUGUCGAUCUC
rnacentral:rRNA from 1 species